rnacentral:rRNA from 1 species
AGUGAACGCUGGCGGUAGGCCUAACACAUGCAAGUCGAACGGCAGCACAGUAAGAGCUUGCUCUUAUGGGUGGCGAGUGGCGGACGGGUGAGGAAUACAUCGGAAUCUACUUUUUCGUGGGGGAUAACGUAGGGAAACUUACGCUAAUACCGCAUACGACCUACGGGUGAAAGCAGGGGAUCUUCGGACCUUGCGCGAUUGAAUGAGCCGAUGUCGGAUUAGCUAAUUGGCGGGGUAAAGGCCCACCAAGGCGACGAUCCGUAGCUGGUCUGAGAGGAUGAUCAGCCACACUGGAACUGAGACACGGUCCAGACUCCUACGGGAGGCAGCAGUGGGGAAUAUUGGACAAUGGGCGCAAGCCUGAUCCAGCCAUACCGCGUGGGUGAAGAAGGCCUUCGGGUUGUAAAGCCCUUUUGUUGGGAAAGAAAUCCAGCCGGCUAAUACCUGGUUGGGAUGACGGUACCCAAAGAAUAAGCACCGGCUAACUUCGUGCCAGCAGCCGCGGUAAUACGAAGGGUGCAAGCGUUACUCGGAAUUACUGGGCGUAAAGCGUGCGUAGGUGGUUGUUUAAGUCUGUUGUGAAAGCCCUGGGCUCAACCUGGGAACUGCAGUGGAAACUGGACAACUAGAGUGUGGUAGAGGGUAGCGGAAUUCCCGGU